rnacentral:rRNA from 1 species
AUUGAACGCUCGCGGCAGGCUUUACACAUGCAAGUCGAACGAGUGGCGGACGGGUGAGUAAUAUAUUGGAAUGUGCCCAGUAGCGGGGGAUAACUACUGGAAACAGUGGCUAAUACCGCAUACUCUUGGAGGUGCCCAUAUCGGUUUGGCUAGUGGGUGGGGUAAAGGCUCACCCAGGCGACGAUCCGUAGCUGGUUUGAGAGGACGACCAGCCGACAUGGGACUGGGACACGGCCCAGACUCAGACGGGAGGGAGCAGUGGGGAAUUUUGUACAAUGGGGGAAACCCGGAACCAGCCAUACCGCGGGUAUGAGAAGGCCUUCGGGUUGUAAAGUACUGUUGGCAGCGAAGCGGUAUCUGCAGAAGAAGCACCGGCUAGCUACGUGCCAGCAGCCGCGGUAAUAC